GAUGAACGCUAGCGGCAGGCCUAACACAUGCAAGUCGAGGGGGAAGCCCUUCGGGGCAGAAACCGGCGCACGGGUGCGUAACGCGUAUGCAACCUACCUUUCACAGGGGGAUAGCCCGAAGAAAUUUGGAUUAAUACCCCAUAAUAUUAUUGGAUGGCAUCAUUUGAUAAUUAAAACUGAGGUGGUGAAAGAUGGGCAUGCGUCCUAUUAGCUAGUUGGAGUGGUAACGGCACCCCAAGGCUACGAUAGGUAGGGGUCCUGAGAGGGAGAUCCCCCACACUGGUACUGAGACAGGGACCAGACUCCUACGGGAGGCAGCAGUGAGGAAUAUUGGUCAAUGGUCGGAAGGCUGAACCAGCCAUGCCGCGUGCAGGAAGAAUGCCUUAUGGGUUGUAAACUGCUUUUAUAUGGGAAGAAUAAGGAGUACGUGUACUUNGANGACGGUNCCA
rnacentral:rRNA from 1 species